rnacentral:lncRNA from 1 species
AUUAGUUAUCUUAGAAAGUCUUGCUGAUUGCUGAAAUAAAACUACAUAGGGAACAAUUUUGACAAUGAUUGAAUUUAGUAGUGUCAGCCCUUUGAUUAUGACCCGUGUAUAUAGCAAAAUCCUAAAUACACCGUUUGGUGGUGCGCCUGUCAAAUGCGGAACGUACAGAUAAGGUUAUAGCUAACAGGUGAAUAUACUUAUGGU